CCUACGGGUGGCAGCAGUGAGGAAUAUUGGUCAAUGGACGCAAGUCUGAACCAGCCAUGCCGCGUGCAGGAAGACGGCUCUAUGAGUUGUAAACUGCUUUUGUACGGGGGUAAACUCAGAUACGUGUAUCUGUCUGAAAGUAUCGUACGAAUACGGAUCGGCUAACUCCGUGCCAGCAGCCGCGGUAAUACGGAGGAUUCAAGCGUUAUCCGGAUUUAUUGGGUGUAAAGGGUGCGUAGGCGGUCGGAUAAGUUAGAUGUGAAAUCCCGAGGCUCAACUUCGGAAUUGCAUCUGAUACUGUGCGGCUAGAGAGUAGUUGCGGUAGGCGGAAUGUAUGGUGUAGCGGUGAAAUGCUUAGAGAUCGUGCAGAACACCGAUUGCGAAGGCAGCUUACCGAGCUUCUUCUGACGUUGAGGCACGAAGGCGUGGGGAGCGAACAGGAUUAGAUACCCCGGUAGUC
rnacentral:rRNA from 1 species